AGCGAACGCUGGCGGCAGGCCUAACACAUGCAAGUCGAACGAACCCUUCGGGGUUAGUGGCGGACGGGUGAGUAACACGUGGGAACGUGCCUUUAGGUUCGGAAUAACUCAGGGAAACUUGUGCUAAUACCGAAUGUGCCCUUCGGGGGAAAGAUUUAUCGCCUUUAGAGCGGCCCGCGUCUGAUUAGCUAGUUGGUGAGGUAAUGGCCCACCAAGGCUACGAUCAGUAGCUGGUCUGAGAGGAUGACCAGCCACAUUGGGACUGAGACACGGCCCAAACUCCUACGGGAGGCAGCAGUGGGGAAUCUUGCGCAAUGGGCGAGAGCCUGACGCAGCCAUGCCGCGUGGAUGAUGAAGGUCUUAGGAUUGUAAAAUCCUUUCACCGGUGAAGAUAAUGACUGUAGCCGGAGAAGAAGCCCCGGCUAACUUCGUGCCAGCCGCCGCCGUAAGAC
rnacentral:rRNA from 1 species